UUCAAUAUCGGGAGUGAGAAUUGCCCAAGGCUUGCGCUGGGGCAGUGACAGUGUGGGGCAGGGGAGGAGAGAUUCCAGAACUAUUUGGAAGAAGAGUUAGUGGGACUUAGUGAGUGGCUAGAUGUUGACAGGUACAGACAGGGCAGAAUUGAGAAAGGAUGGCUCCGCGUUUCUGACUGGAUCAGCUUGGUGGGUGAUGACGCUGCCAACCAAGGCUCAACUGUGUCCUUCUUUGGCUGAUUUUUCAUAAGAGGGGACCACCAUGGAUACCCAAAGAGGAGGGCUGGUCCCCCACCACCCCGCCCCCAUCAAGGGUUACAGCAAGAACAAGGCACCUGUGCAGGAACCAGGGACUGGGAAUUGAAGCAGGUCUUCGUCUCCAAGCAGGAGGACCCUGGUACCUGUGUAGUGGCCACCUCACUUGUGACCUCACCCCUGUGCUGCCCCUUGGCCUCCCUUCCAACAACCAGGAAGCUACUUACACGUUAAGACUCGAAUGAAAUACCUCAUUGUUAAGGAUGAAAAAGCAAUUGUAAAGCUUCCCUGCACAUCCCACAACAGUCUUGCUGAGGGGAGAACGAUCUAUUACCUCUACUCCACGGCUGGAAAACUAAACCAUGAGGUCAGCGCCAAGGACAGUGAGUGGACAGCUGGAACUCCAAGCCAGGCCUAGGAUGUCACAGCCCUGCCCUGAACUACUUACUGUGCUGUAUGUGCUGUUCUACCCGCCCCCACCCCCCCAAAUGUUCUAGGAAUGUCUGUUGAAUGGCACACCUUUUUAUUCUCUCCAGGGGGAGAGACCUUAUCAAUGGCCCUCACUGA